UACGGGAGGCAGCAGUGGGGAAUAUUGCACAAUGGGCGCAAGCCUGAUGCAGCCAUGCCGCGUGUAUGAAGAAGGCCUUCGGGUUGUAAAGUACUUUCAGUCGUGAGGAAGGUGUUAAGGUUAAUAACCUUAGCAAUUGACGUUAGCGACAGAAGAAGCACCGGCUAACUCCGUGCCAGCAGCCGCGGUAAUACGGAGGGUGCGAGCGUUAAUCGGAAUUACUGGGCGUAAAGGGCACGCAGGCGGUUAAUUAAGUUGGAUGUGAAUCCCGGGCUUAACCUGGGAAUGGCAUUCAAGACUGGUUAGCUAGAGUCUUGUAGAGGGGGUAGGAAUUCCAUGUGUAGCGGUGAAAUGCGUAGAGAUGUGGAGGAAUACCGGUGGCGAAGGCGGCCCCUGGGACAAAGACUGACGCUCAUGUGCGAAAGCGUGGGGAGCAAACAGGAUUAGAUACC
rnacentral:rRNA from 1 species